GGAGAGGUGGCAGAGUGGUCGAUUGCGGCGGUCUUGAAAACCGUUGUACUGCAAGGUACCGGGGGUUCGAAUCCCUCCCUCUCCG
rnacentral:tRNA from 3 species